AGCAGAGUAAAUGGGGGGACGGGGCGGGUGGCUGAAUGGCUAAUUGCGUGAGCUGUAAGCCAGACGGCGCGGGUUCAAUCCCGGCUCGUGGCACAUCUGGCAAUGUGUCUGUAAACCUAGCCCGGGUUGACCAAAGCCAUGUGAGGGAAAUUUGGUAGAGGAAACUAUGUCCUCGGAUGGACUGUAUCUGCAUCUGCAAUGUUGCAGCCUUGUCACACUGUGUCACGCUGAUAUCAGCAUUGUAGUUGCGUGAAAGGUACGAGUGAUUGUAGUCUGGUCAGCUGCCUUCACUAUAAUUUCAGUAACCAGGAUGUUCCACUUUGUGGAACCCUCAUACGAUGAAAUCGACGGAGUUCAUUAGUUAAACUAACAUGGCAUGCAUGUGAAGAUCACAAUUACUAGUUUAUUGGUAUAAUCGUUUCAAUUUUAAACAGAGCUGUCUGCAUGCCUUGUCUUUUCGUUCUGCUAUUGUAGCAUCAAUUCGCAGAUAAUUCCCUUAUCAAGAAAUGGUAGAAAGCUAAGACUAAGUGGAUACUCUAUAUGUAUAUCAGUUUCUGCAGUGUCAUGCUCUUCCAAAUUUCUGUGUUAAC